GGCAGCUGAGCAUAAUGGGGUCCUCAUUGGUCCAAAGGGUGCUUCGGAAUGGUUAAAUGUUUAUCCACGAGGAAUUCAAGAUCUUUUACUCUACAUAAGGAAAAAGUAUCACAAUCCAAUUAUUUACAUUACCGAAAAUGGUGUGGAUGAGUUGAAUGAUA